rnacentral:rRNA from 2 species
GGGAUGAGCUCAAAUUUAAAAUCUGGCUGGUUUACUAGUCCGAAUUGUAGUUUAUAGAAGCGUUUUCGGUGGCAGCCUGGGUAUAAAUCCUUUGGAAUAGGGUAUCAUAGAGGGUGAGAAUCCCGUCUUUGACUCAGUGCAUGCUACUAUGUGAUACGUUUUCAAAGAGUCGAGUUGUUUGGGAAUGCAGCUCAAAAUGGGUGGUAAAUUUCAUCUAAAGCUAAAUAUUGGCGAGAGACCGAUAGCGAACAAGUACCGUGAGGGAAAGAUGAAAAGAACUUUGAAAAGAGAGUUAAACAGUGCGUGAAAUUGUUGAAAGGGAAACGUUUGACACCAGUUAUGCGGGUGGAAAAUCAGUCUUUUGCAGUGGGGAGUUGUGGGCGUUCAGACCGCAAGGCUGGCGUUUGCUUCAUCUUUGUUGUAAGUGAUGCACUUUUUCAUUUGCAGGUCAACAUCAGUUUGCUCUGCUGGACAAAACUCCAAGGGAAGGUGGCAGCUUAGGCUGUGUUAUAGCCCUGGAGCGAUACAGUGGGGUGGACUGAGGUUUCGCAGUGUGUGCUUUCGGGCAAGGCUGACUGGGUGCUAUGGGAUCGUUCGGCGUACAAUGCAUGCAUUUUGCGUCGUGUCUUUUUCAUACUCGCUCAACUUCGGCUUCUUCC